rnacentral:rRNA from 1 species
UACGGGGGGGGCAAGCGUUGUUCGGAAUUAUUGGGCGUAAAGGGUGCGUAGGCGGUUUUGUAAGUCUUAUGUGAAAUCUAUGGGCUCAACUCAUAGACUGCAUGAGAAACUGCAGGGCUUGAGUAUGGGAGAGGUGAGUGGAAUUCCUGGUGUAGCGGUGAAAUGCGUAGAUAUCAGGAGGAACACCUGUGGCGAAAGCGGCUCACUGGACCAUAACUGACGCUGAUGCACGAAAGCUAGGGGAGCAAACAGG